GUUGGAGAUCAUCACUGGUCAACCCCCAGUAUUGAUGGAGCCUCAAACCUUUCAUCUUCCAAACUGGGUACGCCAUAAGAUUGCCAUGGGCAAUAUUCAUGACAUCGUGGACAAGAGGUUGUUGGAUCAGUACGAUGCUAGUUCACUCCAAAGUGUGGUAGAACUUGCUAUGAACUGUGUUGAAAACGCAUCCAUCGACAGGCCGACCAUGGCUGAGGUUGUUUCAAGGCUCAAAGAGUUGUUGCCGGUAGUUUCAAGCGGAAAGUUGUCUUCUUCCGCUUCAACUAGUAGUAUGAACCCCAUGGAUGCUGAAAUUCGAAGGCAAUUUCAAUUCACGAUUUCUGGAGUAAGCAACGAGGAGAACUCAUUCCGGUCUGGUUAUAACGGUGGGAUGUCAGCAUUAAUCCCUUUAUCCGGACGUUGAAAGGGAAACUCCUACCGAGUUAUUGUUGCAUCUGCUGAAAUGUGUCCUUGUUUGUUGUUCAUAAACUGUAAUCUGCUCAAAUAUGCCCUUGUUUGUUGUUCAUAAACUGUAACCGAUUCAUUUUAUGUUUCUGGCACAUCUGUGGUGUUUUCGUUUCUGUUCUGUUUUUGUGCGAGCUGUGCUACUUAGUUGGAGUAAUUUUCAAAAUGGAAGCAUCUUCAUCAUGUGAGAACUCAUCAUAUAUUACUAGGAUUUAUUAUCCGGUACCCACGCAUUGAGUCCCAGACCAAUCAUAAACAAGGUCUGCUAAAGCGUUGCUGAUUAAUAAUUCUACUUACUUAUCUCUCAUAUCUCACACAAUGUGUGGAAUAAGCUAAAACAUAGGUGCUCAUUCUACCAAACCCUAUGAACAUUUCCCGAGUCAUGGACCAUCACAGAAUUAUACGCGAUGGAGUUUCCCUAUGAGCGAGUUCGAACCUGAGCUGUGAAGAGGCCGGUGCUGUUCAUGGUCGUCGGCCGCCAGACGACAGUUCCUCAACUCGGCCGCCGCUUGGCAAGGGAUGAGCAGGGAUUUGGGAUUGGGCUCCUGAUAUAGCUACAGAUGGCUGCUGUGUGCCGGAGGCAACUGCAUGCCAAGAGUGAAGUUGGCUGGGAGGGAGAGGGUAACCCUCAAGUCUAACGAUGAGUUAACCUAGCAAUAAGUAUUUGUCUCCAUUGAGAAUCAAGGUUGAUUAGGAAUUUCUUCUGCAACCCAAAUCCUCGGUACAUGCACACCGAACACAAAACAAUUGUAGCCCAACGUUUCAAAAGGUUGUCAAGCUUCUAGAGUCAGCGGUAACAUAGCUAUCACACGGUUUCCAUCGCAAGAGAGCAUCUCCAAUGGCAAUGGGUGAUGACAAAAUACGGACAUCCCCCCAAAAAACAUAUGUUUAGGUUAUUUUGGGCAAAAAACGUCACUCUAGAUACCCUAUCUGUAUAUGUCUAUCAGUAUAUUUUUUUUUUACGAGAAUUCAGCAGUCAACAACAUCAACCAGCAAAAAAAAUUCCAAGGCCACAUGCCGCACGACAAAAACACUACCAACAGCUACUAACUCUAUGAUAAAACACAAACUCAAAACAAAAAUAGUUCCUAACGUCUAGUUUACGCAUCCAAGAAAGAAUCCCCACACGUGCGUCAAUGAAGACGAGUCUAACCCAAUGUUGAUCUUGGGAUUCUCAUGCUCAAAGCUAAGCUUUGAUCCACCAACUUCAGUAAGGAAAUGACACGCGGGCGUCGACAUAGACUGAUCAAUGAUCUUGUGUUUCCACUGAAGUGUGCAAACUUGUUGUUGCACUACUGGAAUCGACAUAUACGCCGAGUGCCACGAACACUCGGCAAAGGACCAAUAACCGCCGACAAAAGCUUUGCCAAGUGUCGCACUCGGCAAAGGGCACCCGGUGUACACCUCUCAAGCAAACAAGAAUUUACCGAGAGCCAGGACAUGGACUCUCGGCUGCCGAGAGGCAUACACGGCCCUCGACAAAAUAAAGUAGCUAACGGACGGUAGAAGGGGUUGGCCGUUAGCACGUGGCCACAACCUGACAUGCGGGUCCUGAAGCAUAGGCCGAGAUGGACACUCGGCAAAGAUAGUCAAUAGGAAAGCGCCACAUGUCAGUCGCCUGGCAUGUGGGUCCAUAGAGUAUGCCGAGUGCCAUGUUUGCUGAGGGCCGUCCUGGGCAAAGAUACCUAGUAGGAAAGCUCCAUGUAUCCGGCGUCUGACAUGUGGGUCCGCAGGAUAUGCCGAGUGCCGUGGUUGCCGAGGGGGGCCCUCGGCAAAGAUACACAAUAGGAAAGUUCCACGAGUCCAGCGCCUGACAUGUGGGUCCGCAGAGUAUGCCGAGAGCUGUGGUUGCCGAGAGGGCCCCUCGGCAAAUAUACCCAAUAGGAAUGCGUCACGUGUCCAGCGCCUGACAUGUGGGUCCCAGAGUAUGCCGAGUACUGUGGUCGCCGAGAGGGGCCCUUGGCAAAGAUACCCAAUACGAAAGCGCCACAUGUCCAGCACCUGACCUGUGGGUCCGUAGUAUAUGCCGAGCGCCAUAUUUGCCGAGGUGCCCUCGGUAAAGAUGUCAAACGGCGCUACUGGUUCGUAUCCUUUUGCGGGAGGCCUCUUGGUAAAGAUUGUAUCUUUGUCCAGUUUUACCGGCUUUACCCGCCAAAAAAAAUUCUAAGGUCGCAUGGUGCACGACAAAAACCCCACUAACAGCUACUAACCCUAUGAAAAAACACAAACUCAAAACAAAAAAAGUUCCCAACCUCUAGGUUACGAAUCCAAGAAAGAAUCCCCACGCGUGCGCCAAUGAAGACGAGUCUAACCAAUGUUGAUCUCAAGAGCCAAUCCAGAAUCCUCAAAGCCAAGCUUCAAUCCACCAACUUUAGUAAGGACAUGACAUGCGCGUGUCGAUAAAGACUGAUCAGAGAUCUUGUGUUUCCACUAGUGUGUGCACACUCGUUGUUGAAGUCGUCUCUGACAUCAUCCCAUGUCCCACUACUACUCCUCGAUUACCGGAUACCUCUAGAGAAGAUACUGGAAAACAAAGACGUACCAUACCGCCUUGCCUCCCAUCACUGUCGUCAUACCACUUAUGAUCCAGUAACAACAGGAAAAACAUGACACCGCCACGAGAGCCACCAUACAGUACCCGCCGACAGCAUGCACGACAUGACAAUCUCGCACGAGACCUCGUACGUAGCACCCACUGGUGACCACACCUACCGGCGACCGGUAUAUCUUGACGGCAUCGAAAGAGGCGCAUGUAUCACCUGUAGAGUCUUUGCUCUCGUAAGAGUGGUUGGGUAACCCUCAAGUCUAACGAUGAGUUAACCUAUCAAAUAAGUGUUUGUCUCCAUUGAGAAACAAGGUUGAUCGAACUAGUAGGGAUUUCUUCUGCAACCCAGAUCCUCGGUACAUGCACACCAUACACAAAACAAUGUUUACCCCCAACGUUUCAAAAGGUUGUCAAGCUUCUUGAUUGAGCGGUAACAUAGCUAUCACACGGUUUGUUAUGAAGUGGAAGUCAUGGUAGGCUUAAAUAUCUCCGAUUUCGUUCCUUCCACAAAUGCCAUGCGAUGUACGCCGCCAUCUGCGAGUAAGAGCGCAGAGCCUCCUCCACCAAUCCCUAAUUGAGGAUGCUGACGCUGCUGCAGCGCACAUAGUGUUGUGUGUUCCAUGGAAUUGGAACCAGGCUUCCUUCGCGAAACGACACUAAAGGGUUAAGUGCUCUCCUUUUUCCUCUUCCCCUCACGUGUGUGGCCUUCCCCCCACGUGCAACCGACCCGCAGUCCAGUUACUGUUUUGUAGGAGCAACCACACGUAGAAUUUGACCUUCCCUUCCAUUCUUCACUUCCAGACCUUCGCUGCUGGAUCCUGGCUACAAACUGUAUUUCAUAGGCAGAGAAGACAAAGUACUUUGCAUUUGCAGUUAGAGACCAAAUGAUCUGGUCUUUUCACUAUUAAGAAAAAGCUUAUAGAUAAAAUAUUACUUGUAGCGGUUUUAAUAUGGCCGAAGCUACUGUUAAUUAGUAGUAGCGCUGGGGGACGACAAGCGCUAUGGUUAAAUUGAGGUAGUAGCAUGUUGCACCAUGUCCAACGCUACUAAUAUUGAAGGCACACUAUACAUCCAGGGGCUAGCCACAGUAACAGUGCUCGCAUAUGACCGGCGCUACUGCUACUCGUAUUAGUAGUAGCGCUUGCUUUUGGCCAGCGCUGCUACUGUGGUAGCCCAGGAUCACCACUCCCUUGUCAACUUAGCAGUAGCGCCUGUCGCCAACACGCGCUACUGUUAAGUCCUACCAUAUCUUCUUUGUCUUCCCCGAGCCCCUCUCUCUCUCUUCAUCUCCACUCUCGUCCGCACUCCCUACGCUCACACUCGUUGGCCCGCCCCCGCACACGUGUCCUCCCUCCCACGCGCGACCGCCCUCUUCUAGUGGCCGCCCUCCCCCACAUCCCGGACCUCCCCUCAUGGCGGCCCUCCCCCACAUCCCGUCCUUCCCCAUGCAGCCGUCCUCGCCCACAUCCCAGCCCUCCCGACGCGCUUCCCCAUCCCGACCAUCCACCGCCACCGCAGGUAGACUCCCGUCUACCACAGGCAGCCCCGAGUAGUUUUGCUUGUAGAUGAGAAAUUCUUAGGUAUUAGAUUUCCUAGGACUUCACUAAUAUAAAUCUUUGGUAAAAAUAUUAGGUCUACAAUUUUUUAGUAAAAAAUUAGGUCUAGAAGUUUUUAGUAAAAAAAUAGGUCUAUUUGGACAUGUGUGUAUGUUAUUGCAGGGAACAACUUCAAGUGGCCUAUGUUUUAAUGGAUUGUUGAUUCAUUUCCAUUUUGGCAAAUUUCAAGACGUAUCGAGCGCAUGAAAUUUUCUGAAACGGAAAUGAAUCAACAGUCCGGCAAAACAUAGGCCACUCGGACAUUCUCCUUCUUCUUAUUCUAUUUUCCUCUUCUUCUUAUUCUAUAUAUAAACAUAAUUUCAAAGACCACUCGGACAUUCUCCUUCUUCUUAUUCUAUUUUCCCUCUUCUUCUUCUUCUUCUUCUAUUCUUCUACUUCUCCUCUUCUUCUAUUUUUCCUCUUCUUCUCCUCUCCUCCUCUUCUUAUUCUCCUUCUUCUUCUUUUCUUCUCCUCCUCUUCUUAUUUUCCUUUUUCCUAUUCUUAUUUUCUUCUUUUUGUUCAUCUUUCUUCCUCUUGUAACCCUAACCUAAUUAUAAAUAUUACUAACCCUAAUAAUCUAGCACUAACCUAAUAACAAUAGCAAUUAAAUGACAAUUUUUUUAAUAUUUAUCUUCCUCUUCUUCUCCUCUUUCUCUUCUUCCUCCUCUUCUUCUUCCUUUUCUCCUUCUCUUCUUCUACUUCUCCUCCUCUUCUUCUUCCUUUUCUUCUCCUCUUCUUCUUCUCCUCCUCCUCUUCUUCUCCUGAUCUCUAACUACACCACAACAUGGGGAGGCGAGGGCGGGGGCGUCCGACGCGAGGGACAGAAGCAUGGGGAGGAGGGGCGGGGGGCUUACCGGAGCGGCAGGGUAGGGGGGGUCGAAGGAGCAUGCAGGGACGGGCAGGGAGGGCUUAGGCGGGCGGCGGCGGUGACACAGGAGCACACGGGGGAGAGGGAAGGAGUGGAGGGAGAGUUAGGAGAUUUUGGCGCCGACACAGGAGCACGCGUACCAGUAGCGUUGAUACCACAAGAGCGCUAGUGCUAUUCUACUUAGCAGUAGCGCUUUUUCCAAGCACGCGCUGCUACUACUGCUACCCUUGGUGGGCUCGUUGGGCCACUUUUAGCAGUAGCGUUGUCUAACAAUCAAGCGUUACUGCUAAGGCCAUGACCAGUAGCGCUUGACAGAUCCAGCGCUCCUGCUAAGUAGCAGCAGCGCGUGCCAUAUUCCAGCGCUACUACUAGGCUCUUACCUAUAAGGUUUUUCCUACUAGUGUUUGAAGGCCGAUCGACAUCAUCCCAUCUAAACCACUCCCAACGCAGACGGACCGCCCUGCCAAAACAUUCAAUGUUCUUCACCCCUAGACCACCAUAUCUCUUCGGAGAGUGGACCUGUAUCCAAUUUACAAGGCCUUUUCCACCCACAGAUGCAUCUUCCGCCUCCCAAAGAAAAUUUCUUCUUAGCUUCUCCACCCUUUUGAUGAACCAUUUGUCUGGUUGGAAGGCCGUCAAGAAAUAUAUGGCGGUGGCCGUGACAGCCGAAUCCAUGUAGUCCAGCCUCCUCAUCAUAUUCAUUAAACGUACUUUACGGGAAGAUAGUUUCCCGGCAAUCUUGUCGAGUACUGGCUGAACCUCGUUCCUCCUCGGCUUCCUAACUCCAGGCGGCAGGCCAAAUAUUGGAAAGGGAAAAUUCCUUGCACCCCUCCAAAUGGUGCCAGCAUUGGCGCUAUAUCAAUAGUCACGCAUGCAAUAAGGUAUGCCACCGUCUUCGCCAUAUUUGCUAUGAGGCCUGAAGCAUUUCCAAAGAGCUUGAGGACUUGUUGAACAACCAGAAAUUCCGAUUGAUUGAUGAACAGUGCAUCUUCAUCAACAUAAAAACUUGACCUGAACCGCGCAAGACGAGAUCUCAACGGCGACGGAAUCCCCCUCUCUGUGGCUAGCAAGAAUAACCUUUGCAGCGGCUCCAUUGCGAUGAUGAAGAGUAACGGUGACAUGGGGUCUCCGUGCCUCACUCCCCGCCUAUGGAGGAAGGGCGAUCCGGGUGAUCCAUUUAACAGUACCCUUGAUGAGGAGGAGGACAUAAUUAGGGAGAUCAUGUCUCGUCAUCUCUGCCCAAAAUCCAUUGCCUCCAUAACCUCAAGCAAGUAGCCCCACCCCACCGAGUCAAAGGCCUUGGCCAUAUCAAGCUUCAGAAAUACCAGAGGGGUCUUUGCAGAGUAAGCAGCCUUGAUCACGUUCUUGACAUACAUAAAGUUGUCUUGAAUCGCUCGUCCUCUAAUGUAAACACUUUGAUUAUUCGCAACAAGCCAAUGUAUCUCCAUGGCCAAUCUGGAAGCCAUCAUCUUGCUCACAAGCUUUGGGAAAGUAUGCAUUAGACUAAUGGGUCUAAAAUCACUAGCCUGCUGAGCACCAUCUCUUUUUGGCAGCAACACAAUGUUAGACGUGUUGAGUAAAUGCCAAUGUUGCCCACGCAGCGAAUGCACGCAGUUAACAGCGGCUAGCAAAUCAUCUUUGACAAUCAACCAGCACGUCUUAAAAGAAUCCCCCAUGAAGCGAUCCGGCCCUGGCGCCUUCUCCCCGUGUAUCUCAUUUACAGACGCCUUCAGCUCCUGCUCGGUGAAAGGGGCGUCCAGGUAAUGAAGAUCCCUCCUCGGCAAUCCAAUGGAUUCCCAGUUCAGUUUUGCAGAGUUUAAGAAAGGCUUGCCCAUGACCCCCUCAAAUCGAUCGAGGAGGAUUUUUGCUUUCCCUGUGUCAUCGUUGACCAUCCCAUUGUCUCCGUUGAGUGAUGGUAUAUGAUUCUUGUGCCGUCUUCUACUAGCCCGAACGUAAAAAAAUCUGGUGCUCACGAUGUUCUCACAAAUUUAUAGAAAAAAGAGAUGAACUUUUUCCACAAGCGAGGUAGUCUGCUUGGGUUUGAUCGGGUCAAACUAUACGAGAACCAUGCCUGGCCGAAUUACCAGGUCCUUCCAAAACCAACGACCCUAUCAAUCUGUGCAGCCAGAAUCCAUCGUGGAACGUGAUCCUAUCAGGCACUCAUCGGGUCAAACAAUAUUUUCUUAUUUCGUUAUUUCAUCAUAUGGAUCGAUACAGAGGAUGUAAAAGUCGAGUUUUGUAGGACGAUACAUAUGGGAACUUGUUUAGAGAUUCCAAACAUUUUUAUAAAAAGGGAUUUUUUUUUAAAAAAUCUGAACUUUUUUUAGUUUCCCAAACUUUUUCUUUGGAAAUGCGGUUUUUUUUUUAACAUUUGCAAACAGUCUGAUAAAACAUGCUAACAAUUUUUCAAAUUUUGUUUUUGAAAAAAGAAACAGGAAAGACAAAUAAAAAACCCAAAACUAAUAAAGAAACAAACAGGAAAAAACAAUGUUUUAGGUGGCAAACGAUCCCUUGUACAGGCACCUGCAUGAUCCUUUAACCGUGCGCAUAGCAGAAUUGGGUCAAAAAAGAUAAACGUGUGCUUAUUGGACCGAGCUGCAUGGUUGGUCAAAACGCACCAGUUCCUGCACGCUGGCGGGAAAAUAGCAAAGACAGCCAAACAAAAUUCCACGGCAAGUUGCAGUAUCUCUAUUCAUUUCUUAGAUGAAUGCAAGUUGCAUUUCUUUGAAGAGAAAUUCACCUACCGAUGAGUAGAACUUUAGUUUUCUUCAUACCGUUAACCGCUGCAUGCGCCGAUCAAGGCCAAGUCAUGGGAAGCAAGCACUAAACCGUACGUAUUUGUCUCAAAAAAUAAAAAAUAAAUAAACCGUAUGCGCUAUUAAUUUUCCUCUGCUAUAUAAGUAACUCCACAAGUCACUUGUAUCUUCAUACUCCUUUUCUUGAUUGAAACCAUGGUGAUCAAUUUCAUUUGCUGGCAAAGGACCAAACUGGCAUGGAUCUUGGCGCUGCUGCUCAACCUGGUCAUGACGAUUCAAGUCCACGGCCAGCCUCCUCCUUCUGGUAACACAGUUCUUUAAGCUUUUCCGUUGUAGAUCCUACUGUUGUUUAAGCUAUGCUCCAUGUGCAUACAGUACAGUUCUGUUUACUUCAACAUACAACUCAAAGAAAUCCCUCUUUCAGUAAUCUGAACAUCUGAGCAACCAGUCUCAUAGCUAAUGAUCUUUGCAUCAACCUUGGAGGUUGGAACACAUGAAAUUGUUACAUAUUCUCUAUUUGUAUAUGUAGGGUUCAUAAGCAUCGACUGUGGAUUGAGAAACAGCAGUUCCUACAACGACAGCACCACCGGGCUAUGGUUCAAUCCUGACGGUGGAUUUGUCGAGGGUGGCACGAGAAAACAGAUUUCUCAAGAGUUUAUGGCUGAUGCUUUUAAUGAACAACAAAAAACCAUGAGGAGCUUUCCUGACAGCUCAAGGAAUUGCUAUACACUGCCAUCCACCAUCGGCAAGAAGUAUCUAGUGAGGGCCAUGUUUACUUACGGAAACUACGAUGGGUUGAACAAGACGUUGGAUGGGUCUGUAUUUCUGUUUGGGCUCCAUAUUGGCGUCAAUUUCUGGGGGGCAGUGAACUUGACAAACAUGAGCCCAUCCGCUGUGAUACCCAAGGAGGUGCUCACAGUUGCCCCGAGCAACUCCUUGUCUGUCUGCUUGGUAAAUUUCGGUUCAGGGAUUCCCUUCAUAUCGUCGUUGGAGCUAAGGCCACUCCAAGAUACGAUGUACCCUUUUGUAAAUAGUUCUGUUUCAAUCGGCGUUCUUCUUCGAACAAGAUUUGGCAACGUCACCGACUUAAUCACAAGGUGAGAUGAGGGCCGAGGUCCCGUCCGUCCAUAAUAAUUUUGGAAUAGAUCUAGUUUUGGUUUUGAAUUGAGUUUGCUAGCUUAAUGCAUAUAAAGUGUUUGCUCCUUUUUUUCCUCUAUACUGCAGUUAAUUUCAGGUAAAAAAGAAUCUCUCUAAUGCCAAACUAUACCGUGCUAACUAUUUAUCUGUCUUUUUUGUAUCCUCGUGUUCGAUUAAGGUAUCCAACGGACACUUAUGACCGCUUCUGGAAAAGAUUCUCCACAUCCUACCCCGGGGUGAACCUUUACACUACCAAUAAAGUGGAGAGCCUCCCUGGCAACAACUUCUUCAAUAUACCGUCGGUCAUCAUGCAGCAUGCCUUGACCGUAGACAUGAACUUCUCCAGGUCCAGGAUAAUCAUCCCCACGGCAACACAUCCCAAUCUAGACACUAAGAGCCUGCAUGUUCUCCCAAUCUUUCACUUUGCUGAGAUCAAUGGGAGCAACCCGAACAGGAGGUUCGACAUCUACGGCAACGGCGAAUUGCUCUUCUCAGACUUCUCCCCUUCACGAUUCCAGGUGGACAGCAUGCACCAGAACGGCCGGUUCUUGCCCUACGGAAAUGGAUCCUUCCUCAUGAACAAGACGUCCAGUUCGACACUCAAGCCGUUGAUCAACGCGGUUGAGACCUACUUCCUCGUUCGGAUGGAUAAGCUCACUACUAACUCGGAAGAUGGUAAGCUGAUGUAUAUACUAUAUACUGAACGUUUAAUACACAUGUAUCCGUCUUUUUGCGGGGCUACACACUUAUCAUUUAGUAUAUGACAGAUUCGCAUGAUCGUGAUGCAACUAAUUCAGUUGGUUGCAUGCAUGCGUUUAUAAAGAAAUGUUAAUGACCGGGAUAUCACUUGUAGCCCGGGAAUAUUCUUGACUUCAUUUGGUUUUGUCAGGAUCGACAUUAAAGUAGUAGAACCGAGUUCAUCAGCGGCUGGCUCGCUAGUAUACUCAACUCCUGAGUAAGCCAGAAUAUAAAGGUCAAAUUGCCAAUGAGCCAAGGCUAAGACCAUAGUUGAGGAAUGAAUUCAAUCAAUUUAUUCAGUUAUAUGAAAAGAUAAAUACUUGCAUAUGAAAUAACUUUUUUUAAUGACUUGUCUUAUUCUCACAAACUCUGAACCGUUAUUCCGAGUCAAAUAGCAAAGCUAAGAGUAGGACGAAUUAUCAAAAAUGGAGCAUUGCCCUGCUUUUGUGUCGAGAAGCAGAGUAGCAUAUGACUUUCCCGAGGUCAUAGACGUCACUCAAUAAAACUCAUUCCUUUUGAAUUAAUUUCAAAUAGUUCUUAUCUUUAAACCACUAACAUCCAAGUAUCAAUGUUGCGCGAGACCUUACAAACAAUCUGGUAAGCUUGAGUGGACCGACUAAGAUCUAAAAUACUAUGGUUAGGAACAGGUUGACUUAUCUAAUAAGUGCAAUUUCUUUCAGGUUUAUUCACUGAAAUAUUAGAAACCCUUUUUUCUUUCUUAAUGACUUCGCUCUUCACUUCAUAUCCAACUAGCCGGCCUAGUUUCAAAGGAUACCCAGGGGAUUAGCCGUGAAGUUAGCCAAAACAACCCGGUGUGGUAAAGUCGUCAAGUGGGCAAUGGUUCUAUAUAUAUAUUGACACGAGAUGCGAUGCCAAGUUAUAAGAUCAAGAGUGAAAAUGUUGGAAGGGAGAUGCCAUGAUCCUAAGUCUAGAUUGGCUUAUCAGCCUAGGUCCUGGCCUCUGAAGGUAGAUUGAGGAAAGGGAUAGCUUUUAAUGAGAGGAAAGGGGUACAUAACCUUUAAUGACAAAGAUAGAGAAGUGUUACAUGCAUCUUAUUGAUGCGGAGACUAGAGGGAAUCCUCCUUUUCUAAAAAAAAUAUGAAAUAACUUUGCAACUUUUUAUUAUGACCUGCCGCUUAGGCUGUUGGAGAUGCUUCGGCCAGUGAAAGGGGAGAGAUGGGAGAAAUUAGGGCUAUAAUUCAUCUUAUAGCAGGUAUCUCCUUGUGUAUACGGAGACACCCUGAGAAAAUCCAAACCUCAAAAAAUAACCUCUAUCUUUAGAAAUCCAAUCUGGAAAAUGGAAAGGAAGCCCUCAUAUAACGCAACUACUUCAAUUGAUGUUUUCAUAUUUUUAUAAUACAUAUAAGCCCUAUAACCAACAUAUACAUAUGUUUGAUUCUGGAUUCAUAUUUUUCUGUGUUUUUCCUAUUGUAGUCAAUUACAUGAAAGAAGUCAAGAACCACUACAAUUUGACACAAAUAAACUGGAAUGGAGAUCCGUGCUCGCCAAGAGAAUAUUCCUGGGAAGGUUUGACUUGCCACUACUCAAAGAGCAACCAGAAUCCUAGGAUUGUUUCAAUGUAAGAACAUAAUACCAUAGACAUUUGAAAUUAAGUCAUUGGAGUUCAUUUUUUGAACAAUUUAGGUGUGUAAGUUUAAUGCUCCACACAAGCCACCUCUUGAUUUAAGUGUUUUCCAUAUUGUAUUGUUAUGUAUAAAUAUUGUACUGUACGGACACUUGGUCAUGCUUCUUACCGGCUAAGAUCUUGAUAACACAGAUAAUUUCCUUGUAAUAAAAAGCAUGUAAUUUAUUGUAAACCUUGACCACAGAAAUCCUCAUCUCGGUGAAAUCACUAGAUUAAUACAACUUGUUGUAACAUGAGUUGCUUUUGCAGAAACCUCUCUGCGAGUGGAUUGAAAGGUGGAUUAGCCUUAUCCUUCUUGAACAUGGUAUCACUAGAAAACCUGUAAGUGGCACUUACCGCAAUGUAUUGAUAUUCGAUAGACUUAUUGCAAUUAUGUUGACACAAUUUUGACCCUAAGCACAAAACAUAUAUAGGGAUUUAUCACACAACAAUUUGACGGGAGCUAUUCCAGACUAUCAAAUAAAAACACUCAAAAUUCUGUAAGUGUGAUUGCAUAUUUGGUUGAUGAUAUAGAUUUCACAUGAAUAACUUAACUAUUAUUUUCCAGCGACUUGUCAAACAAUCAACUCGUUGGGCCAAUCCCCGAUUCUAUUCUUCGAAAAUUUCAGGCUGGUUUGCUUGAUUUAAGGUUUGACAUGCUUUCCUUGAUAUAUUUCUAUUUCUAAUCAAACAAAAAACAAACCAAUAGGCUCAACCCAAGGUUCGUUAUCACAGAAAUAAUUGGACAUUUAGUAACAAUAGCUACAAAUACUAUAUAAAUUUUUGGUGGAAACACAUUAUGUUCCUUUGGCACGCCUUACCAAACGAGAGCUACACAUGUUCACUUUCUACUUUUGCAGCACCACACUUCUAUAUCUCAACCAGCUAUAUGCAUAAAAUCUCAUCAAAUGCGACUAAGUUGUGCCACCCAACUAGUAAAUAGUCAUACUUUUGUGGUACUUAUUGAUCCAAAUGUACCCCGAUAUCAUGUACUAUAGCAUCUAGUAACUACAAAUAAAUUAUGAUUUGUGAGCCUUCAACAUGAGAGGGAUAUAAUGACCUAGUCAUAACGGGAUGCGAUUUGAAAACAAUGUAUUCUGUUAAUUUAGAGGUUGAAGGUCCUUAUAAGGACAAUUAGAGGGUUAGUUGUGUUAUAAAACAGAGGUAUGUUACAAUCAUAAUUUUGUAGAGCCGUUGUAGCUCAUAUGUUUGAGAGAUGAUUUAUAGAUAUGUUGUGCAUUUGUGUCACAAGAUUGGAAGGCAACCCCGUAUGCUCAAAAUUCAAAGAUACUUAUUGCUCAAAUAAAAAGAAGAACACCAUACAAGCAAUGGUUAUCGCGGUGAUAGUUCCCGUGGUAUUGGUAUCCCUGCUAGUAUUGAUGUGCAUAAUGCAGAAGUUAUGUUGGGGAGGUAAAAUAUAUUUUUAUGCUCUAAAAUCCAUUUUCAUCGAUGCAAUAAAAUUAGCUAGACAUUAGACAACAACUUCAUACCUAAACUUUCAUGUAAAUAUAACUUCUUGACUAUGCAGGUAAGUCAGACCAUGAGGAUUAUGCCAUGUAUGAAGAGGAAACUUCCCUACAUGUUGACCUCAGACGAUUCACGUACGUAGAGCUCAAGAUCAUAACAAAUGACUUCCAAUCAAUAAUUGGGAAAGGAGGUUUUGGUAUUGUUUAUCAUGGCAAACUGGAAAAUGGUGAUGAAGUAGCUGUUAAGGUUCUGAUGGAAACAUCAAUAGCGGAGUCAACAGACUUCCUACCUGAGGUAUAACACGAAACCGACAUGCCUGGAUCAUUUUUUCUCCAAAAGAGAGUACACAAUAAGUCAGCAAGAUAAUAUACCCUUUAUGUAGUCUAUAUCCAAUAAAUACAAUUGGAUUGCAUGUUUGGUAACUAUAUGUAUUCCCACAGGUUGAAACAUUGUCCAAAGUUCAUCACAAGAAUCUUGUGACUUUGAAAGGAUAUUGCCAAAACAAGAAGUGCCUCGCUCUCAUUUAUGACUUCAUGUCGAGGGGGAAUCUUCAACAGCUCAUAAGAGGAGGUUUACUUACUAAUUGUUUACCUUUUAUUAAUGUUUAUAUCAAACAUAAUUGACUUGUUAAGUUGUAGUGAAAUUUGUACAGAGGCUGUUGGUGGCUUAAAUCAAUAAAUUUUAACUAUCAGCCAAACUAAAAUGAUUAGAAUCGAAAAUGCAGAUUGAGAAAUUCGGGGUUUUAAUUCCUCCAAAACAAACAACCGAAACGGGCACCUUGACCACAUAGUCUAGCUUGGUAACCCUUGGGAUACAAGAACUUCUCAAAUUGUAUGAAUAUAUGGUGUUUCGUAGAGUAAUAUAAAAACAUAGGACAUGUCCAUAACUACAAAAAUGAACUCCAAACUCAAAGUAGUCCAGCUUUCGACAUCUUACUGUCAACAUGAUUUCUUGUUACAUGUGUGGUUGGUUGCCUAGACUGUUAUUAUUACUCUGAGUAAAUGCAUUUGAGUUGGCGGACCUAAUUUACUAUAUGUAGAUUAUGUAGUAAGAAGUAUGGCCCUAGCUGCACAUUCUUGAAGUUACAACCAUGGAAUGUUCGAUUAACUGGUCAUAGGUAUGUGGCUAACAAACUGAGGAAAACCAUGACACGAUGGAAUUGCCAGUAUCUUUCAACUCUAGAGGAAAACUUAAAGUAAUAAUUUAAUGGUUGGUUCUCUUUUUAAUUCAUUUGGAUAUAAAAAACUCUCAUAAAGAGAAGGAAAAUCAUCAGUCGCCUCUCGAAUAUCAAAGCUCAGAUUUACGCAGGUUAAGAUUUUAAUAUAUGAAUUGGUUCUAUGCUUAACAAUGAAUGUGGUGCACAUAAUUUGUUAGCUUAAAUAUAUGUACACCAUGAUAAAAAAAUAAUAGUAGUAAUAGUGGGUGCUGGUGGUGGUACUGGUGGUAGUGGUGGUACUAUUGGGGAUAGAAGUAGUAAUAGUAAUAAUAAUGGUAGUAGUACGAAUAAUAAGAACAAAUGAAGUUAUAUUAAUAUCGUAUUUCUUGAUGCAGGAGAUGACUAUAGUUUGAAAUGGGAACAACGACUUCAUAUUGCACUUGAUGCUGCACAAGGUCCAUAUUUCAAUUCUUUACUAAUUUAUGUAUUGUAUGUACGUAUGCUUAUUUUGACUAAGUAUGAACUUCAAUUAACUAUAGGGCUGGAGUAUCUACACGAGUCAUGCACCCCAUCAAUUGUUCAUAGAGAUGUAAAGACCCCCAACAUCCUUCUAGACAAGAAUCUGGUGGGGAUAAUAUCUGAUUUUGGGCUUUCCCGGGCUUUUAAUGAUGCUCACACACACAUAUCUACUGUUGCUGCCGGCACCCUUGGCUACCUCGACCCUGAGUACCAUGCAACUUUCCAACUCACAGUCAAGACAGAUGUUUACAGCUUCGGCAUCGUGCUGUUGGAGAUCAUCACUGGCCAGCCCCCAGUAUUGAUGGAGCCUCAAACCUUUCAUCUUCCAAACUGGGUACGCCAUAAGAUUGCCAUGGGCAAUAUUCAUGACAUCGUGGACAAGAGGUUGUUGGAUCAGUACGAUGCUAGUUCACUCCAGAGUGUGGUAGACCUUGCUAUGAACUGUGUUGAAAACGCAGCCAUCGACAGGCCGACCAUGACCGAUGUUGUUUCAAGGCUCAAAGAGUUG
rnacentral:lncRNA from 1 species